rnacentral:lncRNA from 1 species
UGAUAAAUGCAGAGAUGGGAGUAACACCCCUACAGGCCAAGGAAUGCCAAGGACUGCUGGGAAACACCAGAAGCUAGAAGCAAGGAAGGAUUCUUCUCUCCAGGUUUCGGAGGGACCGUGGUCCUGCCAACACCUUGACCUCAGACUUCUAGCGUCUAGAACUUCUUUGGAAAUGGUUGAAUCAUUAUCCUUUGCAGCCUGGUUCAUGGUGGAUCUUUUUGAAUGUUCUAGACUGAAUUUUCUUUUUCUGGUUUCGAAGAUGUUACUCUCCUCCCCACAAAAGGAUUAUACACGCCUGCCUUUUGUCAGAUGACUUGAAGCGUUUCCCUGUGAGUUGGUUAUACUUUCCUGCCCCAUGAGUAUCAGGCAUGGCUUGAGAUCUGCUUGACGAAUGGAAUCUGAGUCAUAAAGAUCUGCCCAUGAUUUCUGAGCUGAAGCUUUAAGUACCAUCAUGUGGUUCUUCUAUGACACUUUUCCCUAUGCCAGGAGGCUGAGAUGAGGCCUGCCCCUUGAGCCAGGUCCCGGAAUGAGAAGAUACGUGG